UUCCUCUCAGAAUCAACAACAUCGUUCCCUUUCGGUUUCGUGAUGAACAACAACAGCGACGCCCUCUAUCUCUCAAUCGCACCUGCGAGUUCUCUCUGCUCUCUCGGUUGCUCUAUCUCUCUCGCGAGUUUUCUCUGCUCUCGCUUUGCUUGCGAAGUGAAUGACAGCAACAGCAAAGCACUCUUUCUCUCGGUUUCGUUCGUGGUGAAGAAUAACAACGCUUGUGAUUCUCACCCUGUGAAACAACAACAACGAUAGAGUUCUUUCUUUCUCAAGAUCACUCUCUCUCUUUGUUCUCUCUCGCUCACGGUUAUAACAACAAAACGAUAGUUGGUCCUCUCUCGGUUCUUCCCUCACGAUUUUCUCUUAGAGCAACAACAUCAAUUUUACUCAAACAGAAUUGAGGUACAACAACAAUAGUGACUUGGCCUCAUUUCAAUCGGUUACCUCUCUCUCUGAAUCGCUAUUUUUGCUCUGUGAAUAACAGUAACAAUGCUCAACCAAUCUCUCUUAGUUUCACGGCAGCCAUUGGUGAACAAGAAGUUGUUUUAAAGGUAUGGUUCUCACAGAUUUUGUUUCUAUGGAACAAUUCAUUUUCUUAUGCUCUCUUGUUUUUUUUUGGUUUUGAGCAAAUUAUAAGUGAAGAACAGAUAAUAGUGAUAUCAAAAGUGGAAGGAGAACCGAAUUACCUGCGGCGAGGAGGAUUUCGCCGGUUUAAUUGCUGCUAUGGCUUUUGAUGAAGGUGAUACCAUAACACCUCUUUGGAUUCGCGGGAACUUUGGAUAUUAAGGAGACUUGAAGAUGAUCUUCAAGUGGAAACCUUCCACCAAGGUAUGAACUAUUUCUUCACCCUUUUUCAAACUAUGGAACUUUGAAAAUUAUGAAAAGAGAGAAGUGAGAAAGCUAGUAGUAUAGUAGCUUUGGUGUGUUUUGCAAUGAAGAGAACACCUCUAUUUAUAGGAAAAGCUUAGGAUGUGUUUGGCAUAAAAAUUAACUUGAUUGGCAAGAUUGUAAUCAUUGAGAAAAUAAGAAUAAGAAUAAUAAUAUUCUCCAUGUCAUUAUGCAAAGAUAUUUCUUAUGAUAUGAAUCAUGCAAGUGGAAGAAAAAUCUCUCUUUGAUUCCUUUUUGUCUUGAAUUAUCUCUUCUUUUUGAAUUAUUUCUUUUAUUGGACUUUUUGCUAAUCUCACCCCUUUUUGUUUCUUUUUUUUUUCAUGUGACAUGAGUAUUCUUUGAAGAAAGAAUGAAGAAACUUGAAUUCCAAGAAUGGAGAUUUGAAGAUUGAAGAAAGUCUUCAAGAAUGUCUUUGUAGUUUUUCUCUUUUUUCUUGUAAUUUCCAAUUCAUUCCAACUUUAAAAUU